GACGAAUGCUGGCUGCGUGCUUAACACAUGCAAGUCGAACGGUGAAGGAGAGCUUGCUCUCCGGAUCAGUGGCGAACGGGUGAGUAACACGUGGGCAACCUGCCCCUCACUCUGGGAUAACGCCGGGAAACCGGCGCUAAUACCGGAUACGACCAGGCGCGACAUCUCGCCUGGUGGAAAGAAUUUCGGUGAGGGAUGGGCCCGCGGCCUAUCAGCUUGUUGGUGGGGUAACGGCCCACCAAGGCGACGACGGGUAGCCGGCCUGAGAGGGCGACCGGCCACACUGGGACGGAGACACGGCCCAGACUCCUACGGGAGGCAGCAGUGGGGAAUAUUGCGCAAUGGGCGAAAGCCUGACGCAGCGACGCAGCGUGAGGGACGACGGCCUUCGGGUUGUAAACCUCUUUCAGCGGGAACGAAGCGAAAGUGACGGUACCCGCAGAAGAAGCACCGGCUAACUACGUGCCAGCAGCCGCAGUAAAAC
rnacentral:rRNA from 1 species